rnacentral:rRNA from 1 species
AUUGAACGCUGGCGGCAUGCUUUUACUACAUGCAAGUCGAACGGCAGCAUAGAGAGCUUGCUCUCUGAUGGCGAGUGGCGAAACGGGUGAGUAAUACAUCGGAACGUGUCCGUUUGUGGGGGACAACCAUCCGAAAGGAUGGCUAAUACCGCAUAAGACCUGAGGGUGAAAGCCGGGGACCGCAAGGCCUGGCGCGAACGGGGCGGCCGAUGACUGAUUAGCUGGUUGGUGAGGUAAAGGACUCACCAAGGCGACGAUCAGUAGCUGGUCUGAGAGGACGACCAGCCACACUGGAACUGAGACACGGUCCAGACUCCUACGGGAGGCAGCAGUGGGGAAUUUUGGACAAUGGGGGCAAACCCUGAUCCAGCAAUGCCGCGUGCGGGAAGAAGGCC